rnacentral:rRNA from 1 species
CGGGCGGACGGGUGAGUAACACGUGGGUAAUCUGCCUUAUACAGGGGGAUAACAGUUAGAAAUGACUGCUAAUACCGCAUAAGCGCACGGGGACGCAUGUUUCUGUGUGAAAAACUCCGGUAGUAUAAGAUGAGCCCGCGUCUGAUUAGCUGGUUGGUGGGGUAACGGCCUACCAAGGCGACGAUCAGUAGCCGGCCUGAGAGGGUGAACGGCCACAUUGGGACUGAGACACGGCCCAAACUCCUACGGGAGGCAGCAG